rnacentral:rRNA from 1 species
CAGCCGCCGCGGGAAUACAGAGGGUGCGAGCGUUAAUCGGAUUUACUGGGCGUAAAGCGUGCGUAGGCGGCUUCUUAAGUCGGAUGUGAAAUCCCUGAGCUUGACUUAGGAAUUGCAUUCGAUACUGGGAAGCUAGAGUAUGGGAGAGGAUGGUAGAAUUCCAGGUGUAGCGGUGAAAUGCGUAGAGAUCUGGAGGAAUACCGAUGGCGAAGGCAGCCAUCUGGCCUAAUACUGACGCUGAGGUACGAAAGCAUGGGGAGCAAACAGGAUUAGAUACCCCGGUAGUCCCUGUCUCUUAUAC